UUUCCGUAGGUGAACCUGCGGAAGGAUCAUUAUUGUUUAACGGAUAUGCGAGGUCUGACGUUGAUAUGAAAGGUCGUGCAAGUGUGAGUGCCCUUCCACAUAACAAUCUCACCCCUACGUCUACUAUCGUGACGGUCUCUCUUAGGACUGUUAGGAGGGAGCAUUACGAUUUCACCUUAACAUAGUAUGCAGCGUAGAUUGUAUUUUUUGUUUUUGCGAACACGCACUCAAGACAACUUUCAACAACGGAUCUCUUGCCUCAUGCACCCAUGAACAACC
rnacentral:misc_RNA from 1 species